rnacentral:rRNA from 1 species
ACGGUGGAAACUAUCAAGCUUGAGUACGUUAGGGGCAGAGGGAAUUUAUGGUGGAGCGGUUAUAUGUGUAGAGAUCAGAAAGAACACCAACGGCGAAAGCACUCUGCUGGGACGAUACUGACACUGAGAGACGAAAGCUAGGGGAGCAAAUGGGAUUAGAUACCCCGGUAGUCCUAGCCGUAAACGAUGGAUACUAAGCGCUGUGUAUCGACCCGUGCAGUACUGUAGCUAACGCAUUAAGUAUCCCGCCUGGGGAGUAUGUUCGCAAGAAUGAAACUCAAAGGAAUUGGCGGGGGCCCGCACAAGCGGUGGAGCAUGUGGUUUAAUUCGAUGCAAAGCGAAGAACCUUACCAGGGCUUGACAUGCCGCGAAUCCUAUCGAAAGAUAGGGGUGCCCUCGGGAACGUG